rnacentral:rRNA from 1 species
CGCGGGGCAACCUGGCGGCGAGUGGCGAACGGGUGAGUAAUACAUCGGAACGUGCCCAAUCGUGGGGGAUAACGCAGCGAAAGCUGUGCUAGUACCACAUACGAUCUACGGAUGAAAGCGAGGGGACCGCAAGGCCUUGCGCGAAUGGAGCGGCCGAUGGCAGAUUAGGUAGUUGGUGGGGUAAAAGCCUACCAAGGCCACGAUCAGUAGCUGGUCUGAGAGGACGACCAGCCACACUGGGACUGAGACACGGCCCAGACUCCUACGGGAGGCAGCAGUGGGGAAUUUUGGACAAUGGGGGCAACCCUGAUCCAGCAAUGCCGCGUGUGUGAAGAAGGCCUUCGGGUUGUAAAGCACUUUUGUCCGGAAAGAAAUCCCUUGGGUGAAUACCUCAGGGGGAUGACGGUACCGGAAGAAUCAGCACCGGCUAAC